rnacentral:lncRNA from 1 species
AAUCAUUUGACCUUUACUCAAUUGACCUUUGAUCAAUCAAUCAGUCAGCUAAUCAAUAAUAUCUUCCCCAGCCUCCACCUCCAGUUACAGCACCUCUGUUGCCGGGGACGACCGCAGCAGUAUCUCUUCCUCCUCCUCCAGCCAAUCAGACGCCAGCUACGGAAGCCACUUCCCUUUAUGGCCAGAGCCAAAACGCCCCACUUCCUCAACCGAGACCCUGUCGGCCCCUCCCACUGCGAGGUCCUCGACCAAUCUAGACGAGGAUCUCUAUAAUGCUGUCAUGAACCGCCCCCCUUUCAAACCGCCUUCCCACUCUCGCAGUCUCCACGACAGCGGGCGCCAAAGCUCAUUGGACAGCGGGAUAGGCAUCGCCACGGCCAGCAGCCAAUCGUCUUACUCUGGGAGCUUCUCUUCCUGUACGGGCAGCCUGGACACAGCCAGUCAAGGAGGAGGGGAGGAGUUUGGGUCUGUCCUUAGUCUACCUCCCCCUCUUCUCUCUCUACCUCCUCCCUCUCUUCCUCCCCAUCCUCCCUCUCUACCUCCUCCACCUCCUCCUCUGUCCUUAAGGACCCCUGAGCCCGGCCCUCUCUCCCCCCCUACUCCCUGCUCCUGCCCCCCGUCUUGCUCCUCCUCCUCCUCCAGGACUAGUGGUUAUAGCUCUGGCGCCCCCCGGUGGCAGAGUGAGGAGUACCAGGCACCCAGCCUUCUCAGACUGCAGUACGACAGCCCCAGGAACCUCCUGCACACCCUGGCCUUCAGGGAUCCUCCACCCCAGGGAGGAGCACCCGAACUGGGCAGGGACAGGUGGCUCGGUGGGGAUGGAGGUCAAGGACAGAUCCAGGGGAAUGGAUGUCCUUACCUUCCCUCCACCCCCACUGAGGCCUCUCUCCAGCGGGUAGGCACCCCUAGGCAGGCCCCUGUAGAAAGGUCCCUGUCCUGGAGCAGUGAGAGAGCGCCCCCUGUGGACAGUGGUGAUCGGUGCAGCAUCAUGUCCGCUAGGCUCACACCCAGACCUCUGCUGUUACCUGGCUGUCCAGUGUGUGGAGGAACACAGACAAACAGCCCUUCACAUUCAAGACUCUCCUCAACACCAGGUCUGUCUGUCUGUCUGUCUGUCUGUCUGUCUGUCUGUCUGUCUGUCUGUCUGUCUGCCUGCCUGCCUGCCUGCCUGCCUGCCUGCCUGCCUGCCUGUCUGUCUGUCUGCCUGUCUGUCUGUCUGUCUUUCUCCCUCUGGCUGUCUGUCUUUCUCCCUCUGUCUGUCUGGCUGUCUGUCUGUCUGUCUUUCUCCCUCUGGCUGUCUGGCUGUCUGUCUGUCUGGCUGUCUUUCUCCCUCUGGCUGUCUGUCUUUCUCCCUCUGUCUGUCUGUCUGUCUGUCUGUCUGUCUGUCUGUCUGUCUGUCUGUCUGUCUGUCUGUCUGUCUGUCUGUCUGUCUGUCUGUCUGUCUGUCUGCCUGCCUGCCUGCCUGCCU